UUUUUUUUUUUUUUUUUUUUUUUUUUUAAUUUUAUGGCUGUAUUUGCGGCCAUAAAAUUCAAUCCCAACCCUGGGCCAGGGAUUGAAUCCAAGUCACAGGUGCAGUCUACAUCGCAGCUGCAGCAAUGCCAGAUCUGUUAACCCACUGCACCUGGCCAAGGAUUAAACUACUUCCUCUUUGGCAACUGAGCUGCUAUAGUCAGGUUCUUAACCCAUAGCACCAUGGCGGGAACUCCCCAUCAUUAUUUUUAUAUAUUCUUCUAGGCUCAACAGCUACAGUAGUCUUCUUUCAGAUUUUUUAGCCUCCCUAGGCCACUCCUACUCACUCUGCCCCAUUCUCCAGCCUGGUUAAAUUCGCCCAUGCCUCAAUUCAAGCUCUCACCUCAAUUCUUCAACUGAGCCCUCCUCCCUCCCUGCAUAGGUCAUGACCCUCUCCUGUGUCUCCUCAGAGAACACUCUUCUAUUUAAAACACGUAUUAGCUGCAGAGACACUGGUGAUCUUAAUAUGACAGAAGUUUAUUUUUUGCUCACAAUGAAGUGUGUGCCUAAGUAGCCCAGGACUUGUCUGGAGGCUCUGUGAUGUCGGGAGCUCCGGAUCCUUCUCUCUUGUUGUGUUGACAUCUCUAGGAUGUUGCCGGCCAGCCUGCUCUAAGAUGAUUCACCACCAUUCGCCAUUCCAGCAGGUGGAAGGGAAAAAAAGGGGAGGCAUUCUCACUCCUUUUAAGUGCAUGACUCAGGAGUUGCAAUGAUUACUUUUGCUCGCUUCUCACUGAGAACUGGGUCAUGAGGUGGCCACACCUAGCUGUAAAGGAGCUGGGAAAAGUAGCCUUUGCUUUGGCUGCCAGAGCGAAUGGAUAUGGGGACACCUAGUGGUCUCUUUGGCACAACACUCAACCCAGGAUCCAAUGACACAUUAAUUAGUGCCAUCGUUUGAUUGAUGUCUAUCCAUCCCACUAGACAGUGGUAAUCUCUACAAGAGCAGGGACCAUAUCUAUUUUUGCUCACCAUUGUAUCCCCUUCAUCUAUCCCCUUGCCUGAUAUAUAGUAAGACCUUAAUAAGUAUUCAUUAUAUAGUGAAUAUUCAUGCAUAAAUGAAUAGAUUGGAUCUCUGGCUCUGUCUUGCUAUUUCCAGUCUCAUGCUGGACGCUCCAGCCAGACUGAACCACUUGUGGUUGCCUUAAUUCAUUAUCUAUUUAAAAAGCUGUAUUUUGAUAAUCUGGUAAGCAAAGUAGUUAUUGCACUGUUUAAAAUUUUUUGAUUUUUGAGAUUACAUACAUUUCACUUCUUGCUUUGGGAUUUGAUAUGACUCAUUCUAACAAUAUCCUUUGAUGUACACUAACAGCUUGACACAGCAGAUUUUAGGAAUUCCCUGUUGUAGNUGCGGUAACGAAUCCCACUAGUAUCCACGAGGACGCAGGUUCGAUCCCUGGCCUCACUCAGUGUGUUAGGGACCUGGCGUUGCUGUGAGCUGCUGUGUAGGUCACAGAUGAGGCUUGGAUCUGGCCUGCUGUGGCUGUGGUAUAGGCUAGAAGCUGCAGCUCCAAUUCCACCCCUAGCCUGGGAACUUCCAUAUACCCUACACCAUGAAUGCUGCCCUAAAAACAAACAAACAAACAAACAAACACACAACAACAAAAACUCAGCAGAUUUUAGUCAUAGCAAUAAGAUCCCAGUUAGGCAGCAUCUCAGGCAUUUGCUUGACGAGGAGUAAAUUCUAAUGCUUGAAUUAGGGCUUUCACACAGUUCUACCUAAAUGCUAAUUCUCAAACCUGAACUUUCCACAAGAGUUGAGAAGCAAAGAGUUAAAAGGUACUUUCUCUGUUUAGAAUCUGGAAGCUUGGUGUGAUGUGAUUUAUAAUGCAAAAUCUAUUAUUUGGUUUUCCUCUUGUUUCUGGCACAGAAACUCUUGGAAUGUCCUAAAUGUUAAGAGCAAUAAAGAGAUCUUAAUAUUGGUAACAAGCCCCUUUAACCACACCUGAGCUUAUGUCAAUGAGGUUCCUUUAGGAAGGACCUAAGGUUGAGGGUUGGUUGCCAGGGGAAUCAACCAUGUGAUUGGAGGGGGGGAACUUUCAGUCCCACCCCCUCCCCUCUGGGGAGUGGAGGGGGCAGAAGUUGAAUCUCUGGGCUGGCCAAUGGCCAAUGGUUUGAUCAAUCAUGCUUGUGUAAUCAAGCCUCCAUAAAAAAUGCCAAAGGAAGGGCUUUCUAGAGCAUCCAGGUUGGUGAAGUAGAACCCAUCCGCACCCUGGUGACCCAAACUCCAUGGGGCCAGAAGCUCUGCACUGAGGAGCUCGCCUUAUGCUUCUCUUCAUCUGGCUGUUCAUCCACGUCUUUUACUAUCCUGCAUAAUAAACCGGUGAUCUAGUAAGUAGACUGGUUCCCGGAUUUCUGUGCGCCUCUCUAGCAAAUUAAACCUGGAGGAGGAGCUUAUGGGGACUUCUGAUUUAUAGCAAGUUGGUCAGAAGCAAGCUGGACCCAUGACCAGCCUCUCAAGUGGGUGCAGUCUGGCGAUAUUUGGCUAUUAGCCUGUAGAAUCUGACACUGUCUCCAGGUGGAUAGUGUCAGAAUUGAGUUAAAUUUGUGGGACACCUGGUUGUUCUCUGAUAAUUCCUUCCUUCCUUCCAUCCUUCCCCCCUCUUUCUUUCCUUCCUUUCUUCCUCCUUCCCCUCCCCGUUCCUUCCCUGCCUCAGGUGCUGCAUAUGGAAGUUCCCAGGUUAGGGGUCGAAUCAGAGCUAUGGCUGCGGGCCUGCACCACAGUCACAGCAACAUGGGGUCUGGGCCAUAUCUGUGACCUACACCACAGCUCAUGGCAACGCCGGAUCCUUAACCCACUGAUUGAGGCCAGGGAUUAAGCCUGUGUCCUCAUGGAUGCUAGUCAGGUUCGUUUCCACUGAGCCACAAGGGGAACUCCUUAAUUUCUUGAUAGUGUGGAAAAAACACACACAUUGGAGAUGGUAUUUUAAAUUGCUAUUUAAGGAAAUAAUUCUUGAGUUUCAGCAGUCAGUAAAGACUGACGUUGUAUUGAUAACUGAAUAAGUCUUGAUAACUGAAUAAGUCUAAUCAAGACUUGGCUGUGGGACUUCCCGAUGUGGCACAGAAGGUUAAUGAUCUCUUUUGUCUCUGUGGAGGCACCAGUUCGAUCCCUGGCCUGGUGCAGUGGCUUAAGGAUCCAGCAUUGCUGCAGCUGUUGUGUAGUUUGCAGCUCUGAUUCGGAUUUGAUCCUUAGCCCAGGAACUUCCUAAGCCACAGGGGUGGCCCCAAAAGAAAAACAAACACACAUGAUUUGCUGUGAAUGAUGGCCAACUUGCCUAUAAUCACCUGACCACACCACCCACUACUAGACACGAAUGUUUUACUUUUCAUAUAUUAAGAGAUAAGACUAUAAAAGUAUAAACUACUGAAUUCCCAUUGUGGCUCAGUGGGUUAAGAACCUGACAUAGUGUCCAUGAGGAUGCAGCUUUGAUCCCUGGCUCUGUGUGUUAAGGACCGGGAGUUGUUAUGAGCUGCGGUGUAGGUUGCAGAUGUGGCUUGGAUUCUAAGUUGCUGUGGUCUAGGCUAGCAGCUGCAGCUCCAAUUCGACCCCUAGUCUGGGGACCUCCAUAUGCUGCAGUUGUGGCUGUAAAAAAAAAAAAAAAAAAAAAAAA
rnacentral:lncRNA from 1 species